rnacentral:lncRNA from 1 species
CGUAUAUAACAUCAUCUGAUCAUAGGUGAAUGCACAUGUAUAAAUGGGUGAAAUGCAAGAAAAAUACGUAAAAAUCUCAAUAUUCGUUCCGGAUAAACGUUUUCAACUACGUAUUAUUCUGAGACCCAUGAACAGAAGAUAAUAAUAAUUCACACAGGAAUCAAGAAAAAAACACAUCUAGUAAUGAAUAGAGUAAUAUAUGGAAACUGUGCGUUUGCUCGUUUCUUCUGUAUAAUUUGGACAAGGGCCAAAAGAAAGAAAGUAUGACCUUAACAUACCCGAGCCGAUUUUCUGGACAAUUCCUCGAACACCUCACAAUUGCGACAAAAAAUGUGACGGAAAAAUCGAAGUAGGGGGAAAAUCAAUAUGAUAUUCUUGAGAAAGAUUGCACUGUUUUACAGCAGAACAAAAACCACCCGACAAGAUUAUGAGGCACACAUCAUUGUACUAACAUAAAUAUAAAUACAGUGUUCAUGUCCCAUCAAAGGUCCUAAACAAAUUACUAUACUUUUGAUAUGAUAUGAUUCCAUGUUUUCUUGAUUUUGAGCUAAAGCAGAAUACCUAAAUAUUAGACUAAACUCUUUGAAAUAUGAAAUUCAAAAAAAGAAAAGAAAUACAUGAAGAAUAAAUAGACCCAUAUGUCAAAAUAUAAAACGUAAAGCAAAAAAAGCUUACUAGAACGGUUGAAAGUGUCAGAGUAAAGUAGAUUGUGAAUGAGAUUGUUGUUGUUGCUAUCGUUGUAUGCUACUCUGGUUUGCAGCCAUGGCGGUGUCCUUUUCGUUUGCACGAUUUUGUCACAAAUCUGAGCCUACUUAUGUACUCAACCAGUUAUUGAGAGAAAAGCAAGUAAAAUACUAAGAAAUAAGAAUGAGGCAGCAUAGUGAUGCCAGUUUGUUUCAAUGGUUGCCUCCCAUUUCUAUGCCAAUGUUUUCUUUGGGUUCUGCUUCUCUCAAAGCUAGAACCUUUAUUUAUUGAUGUUGUAAUGCUUAUUUAUGCUCGGCUGUGUUCUUAUACUUUCUGCCACUAUUUUCUUAGUCUUUAUCUUAUCCCCUUUCAAUAAAAUGGAAGGAUGGAACAAGACAAUGCGUAAAUGUGGGGCAAUUAAACACUCCUUCUAACUCCAAUGCUUAGCAAGCCAUCCCAAAUAUAACAACAAAUGGUCUUUAAAUGUAUGGCUUCCACCUAGCCAUGUAUUGGCGGUGGAAGUCCUACAUUUAUGACACAUAAUGCCUACGAAAAUAAAAGAUAUAUAUCACAUGCUUAUCCCCAUAUUUUAGUACUUAACGUAUAUAAAAUUUAUCCAUAUAACUAAGAAUUAUCUCAAAUUACUUAAAAUACCACCCAUUUUUUACACACUUUAUAUAUUUUACUAUAAAAUACUUUACUAUCAUGGUCAUGUGAUACCAUAUAAAAUUAAUACAUACACUUAUUAUUUCAUUAAAAUAUCCAUGUAAAAUUACAUAUAUUUUCUCACCUUCUAAUUUUUCUAAACUAAUAUAAAGAAUACAAAUUUUCGUACGCUUAAUUAUUAAAAUGGUAAAAAAAAAUAACCUUCUUCUGUGAGAAAAUAACUUCUAUUUUUACAAUAAAGAAAAUCUCAUUAACCUUUCUCAUAUUAUAUAUGUGUAUAAUUUAAAGUAUAUUCGAAAGUGGUAAUAUUAAUAAUUAUAUAAAAUCAUAUUUUUCAAACUUUUAUUUUACAAAAAUGUUCCACUCAAAAUACCACAUCAAAUGUAUAUAACGGUGUCAAGGUUGUUAAACCCACGGGGUGUAACAUCUUUCCCCACUUUAGAACAUUCGUCCUCAAAUGUUAACUCUUAGAGAUUUUGAAAAUUUUCACUAGGGUCUCCUCUGUAACUAAACUAAAAUGAAAACUAUAUCCGAAGUCUCGACUAUUAACAACCUUUUGUACUGGAGUAUCUCAUAUCUUGCUCACAUUUACCUUAGUUACCCUUCAAUCUCAUAUCGUAUCUUCUGUUUCUUUCAUAACCUCCCUUAAACAUAGGUUGAAAUUACGCCCUAAAGCUCUACUGUAAUACCUGCACCUCUGGUGCAUACAAAAUCUGGCAAAAGCUUAAUACCGACUUUUUACGACUCAACUCUAUGGCACGAUCUGGAAACAAAAGAAGGUUAAUAUUUCCUAAAUGCCAUAUAGUCUCUAAAUUAUAAAUGUGACGCGCAACACACCCAUAAGUGAGACUCUACUAGGCACGGCUUUGUAAACAUCCCUAGGACGUGACCCGUUCUGAUACCACUUUGUCACGCCUCAAACUUGGGGAGGCAUGGCUAUCACUCGGUGCCGCACUAGCCCGAGCGAACCAUGCUACAGCUCUUUGUUUUUUCUUCUAACUAUCAUGGGCCAACAUGGCCACAACUCAUAAUGUAUAACUAUCGAUGGGCAACAUUGUAUCACUGAACCAUUUUUCAUAAGUCAUGAAUACAUAUGGGUCGUCAAGACCUCUGACAUACUGUACAAAAUGAACUUCUAUCUACAAAGCCUCUAAGAUUAUUUAACAUCGAGUAGGAUAGGGUAUCGGCCUACCUAUAAGUUUGUAGUAAAAUUCUGACACGAUGACUCAUAGACUUGGCUACACUCUGAAUGAGGUGGAGUCUUACCGAUCCUUCGCUGAAUGCUGACCUCGUCUACUGUAAGGGCUCGUUAAGCUGAUUAUCUAUACCUGCAGGCAUGAAUGCAGCGUCCACAAUAAAAAAACGUCAGUACGAAUAAUGCACUUAGUAUGUAAGGCAUGUAAAUAAAUAUAUAAAUAGUAUUAAAGAAAUAUGGAGUACAUAACUCAACCUGUAUGCCUGGAUAACUCUGUAUAUCAUUUAAUACUUAUAGUGACAUGCAUAUGCGUAUAAAUGUCAUGUCGUGCAUAGGUACAUGUAUUCAUAUCAUCAUCAAGCCUCUGGGGGCAUCCCAUUAUAUCAUCUCAGCCACUAUGGGCAAAAUUAUCGUCGUAUAUCAGCUGAUCAGGUGGUGGUGCCUAUAUAAUGCCAUAAAUUUUCCUAUAUCCCAUAUACAUAUAUAUACCUAUAUAUACGCGUAUAUAACGCCAUAACAUCAUCACACCUCUGAGGGCAUCCCAUCAUAUCAUCUCGGCCACUGUGGAAAAAUCGUCAACGUAUACCAGCUGACCAGGUGGUCAUGCAUAUAUAAUGUCGUAACCUUUUUCCAUAUUCCAUAUACAUAUAUGCGCGUAUAUAAUGCCAUCUGGUCAUAGGUCAAUGCAUAUGUAUGAAUGGGUGAAAUGCAUAAAAAAUACAUAAAAAUCUCAAUAUUCCUUCCGAAUAAAUAUUUUCAACUGCGUAUUAUUUUGAGACCCAUGAACAGAAGAUAAUAAUACUUCACACGGGAAUCAAGAAUAUAGACACCCCUAGUAAUGAAUAGAGUAAUAAAUGGAAAUUGUGCAUUUGCUCGUUUCUUCUGUAUAAUUUGGACCAUGCCAAAAGAAAGAAGGGAUGGUCUUAACAUAUCCGAGCCAGUUCUCUGGACAAUUCCUCUAACACACGAUAAUUACGACACAAAACGUGACGGCAAAAUUGGAGUAGGGAAAAAAUCCAUAUGAUAUUCUUUAGAAAGAUUGAACUGUUUUACAUCUAAACAAAAACCACCCGACAAGAUUAUGAAGCACACAUCAUUGUACUAACACAAACAUUAUUAUAGUGUUCAUGUCCCAUCAAAGGCCCUAAACAAAUUACUAUACUUUUGAUAUGAUAUGAUUCCAUGUUUU